AUUCCCAGAAAACGAGUGGGCUCGUUUAUGAAAUAAACAGUCGAUUCUACGAGUAGAAAGGAAGAACCCUAAGUGGAUCGUGAUCGAGAAGCGAUUCUGGAAUUAUUGUUUUCUUGGUAUCCUAUUUUCUUAUUGAACAGAUUUGAUGGCCUUCAAUUAAUGCCUUUUCGGAAUUCUGGUUUCUGACUAGUUCGUCUCACCAACCAUCAAUACAAGCCUUUUGCUAAAAUUAAGUAAAAUUUCCAGAUAAUCACUAUUAUGGGUGAUUUUUCAGUUCAGAUUAGUUCUAACCUUGUUAAUAGACUUACUGAUGAUGGUGAGAAGUUAAAGAGGAAACCAAAGAAAACUAAA
rnacentral:misc_RNA from 1 species